AUUGAACGCUGGCGGCAUGCCUAACACAUGCAAGUCGAACGGUAACGCGGGGGCAACCCUGGCGACGAGUGGCGGACGGGUGAGUAAUACGUAGGAAUCUGCCCAUUAGUGGGGGAUAACCCGGCGAGAGCCGGGCUAAUACCGCAUACGCUCUACGGAGGAAAGCGGGGGAUCGCAAGACCUCGCGUUAAUGGAUGAGCCUACGUCGGAUUAGCUAGUUGGUAGGGUAACGGCCUACCAAGGCGACGAUCCGUAGCUGGUCUGAGAGGACGAUCAGCCACACUGGGACUGAGACACGGCCCAGACUCCUACGGGAGGCAGCAGUGGGGAAUAUUGGACAAUGGGGGCAACCCUGAUCCAGCAAUGCCGCGUGUGUGAAGAAGGCCUGCGGGUUGUAAAGCACUUUCAGAGGGGAAGAAAAAAUCGGAUCUAACACAUCCGAGCUUGACGUUACCCUUAGAAGAAGCACCGGCUAACUCCGUGCCAGCCGCCGCGGUAA
rnacentral:rRNA from 1 species